rfam:Myotis davidii contig222292, whole genome shotgun sequence.
GGAUGUGAGGGCGAUCUGGCUGCGACAUCUGGCUGCUGACAUCUGUCACCUCAUUGAUCGCCAGGGUUGAUUCGGCUGAUCUGGCUGGCUAGGCGGGUGUCCCCCUCCUCCCUCACCGAUCCAUGUGUGUCCCUCCCAAAGCUGCAUGUUCUGUCGAAGAGGAUGACCUUCCCCCCAGAGGAGGGUCUUCGGGCAAGGGUAUACGAGUAGCCUUGCUCCCCUGCUAGAACCUCCAAACAAGCUCUCAAGGUCCAUAAUCUGGGUGCAGGAGUUUUACAGUCCCCUCUUCCCAAGUGGUAUGGAAUAAUUUUG